rnacentral:tRNA from 1 species
GCAGUGGUGGUUCAGUGGUAGACUUCUCGCCCUUCCGUGCGGGAGACCCGGGUUCAAUUUCCAGCCAAUGCA